rnacentral:rRNA from 1 species
AGCCACAGGGAAAAUAUAUGUGGUUUAACUUGCCCAAUGAAAGGUGAGUGAAUGGCCGCGGUACUUUGACCGUGCUAAGGUAGCGUAAUCAGUUGGCUUUUAAUUGGAGUCGAGAAUGAAUGGGAUAACUGGGUUAAGCUGUCUCCCCCUUAAUUUAUUGAAUUUACUUUGUAGGUGAAAAAGCCUACAUCUUGAAAAAAGACGAGAAGACCCUUAGAAUUUUGCUAAAAUCAGUCAAGGUAUAGUUAUAUUGGCUAGAUCGGUUUUGUUGGGGUGACAAAGAAUAGAUAUUUUAACUUUCUGUGAAUAGACGCGCCGAUUUUAUUAUGUAAGAAUAAAUUACCUGAGGGAUAACAGCAUAAUUUUAGUAUUAAGUUUGUGACCUCGAUGUUGGAUUAGGAUACUAGCAAGCUAGCCGUUUGUUGUGUUGGUUCUGUUCGAACUAGAAAUUCCU